CAGCCGCCGCGGUAAUACGUAGGUGGCAAGCGUUGUCCGGAAUUAUUGGGCGUAAAGGGCUCGCAGGCGGUUUCUUAAGUCUGAUGUGAAAGCCCCCGGCUCAACCGGGGAGGGUCAUUGGAAACUGGGAAACUUGAGUGCAGAAGAGGAGAGUGGAAUUCCACGUGUAGCGGUGAAAUGCGUAGAGAUGUGGAGGAACACCAGUGGCGAAGGCGACUCUCUGGUCUGUAACUGACGCUGAGGAGCGAGAGCGUGGGGAGCGAACAGGAUUAGAGACCCGUGUAGUCCCUGUCUCUUAUAA
rnacentral:rRNA from 1 species